rnacentral:rRNA from 1 species
AGGAUGAACGCUGGCGGUCUGCUUAACACAUGCAAGUCGAACGGAGUAGCAAUACUUAGUGGCGGACGGGUGAGUAACGCGUGAGAAUCUACCUUCAGGACGGAGACAACAGUUGGAAACGACUGCUAACCCCCGAUGUACUGAAAAGGCAAAUAUUUAUAGCCUGAAGAAGAGCUCGCGUCCGAUUAGCUAGUUGGAGAGGUAAAAGCUCACCAAGGCGACGAUCGGUAGCUGGUCUGAGAGGACGAUCAGCCACACUGGGACUGAGACACGGCCCAGACUCCUACGGGAGGCAGCAGUGGGGAAUUUUCCGCAAUGGGCGAAAGCCUGACGGAGCAAGACCGCGUGGGGGAAGAAGGGCUCUUGGGUUGUAAACCCCCUUUUCUCUGGGAAGAACACAAUGACGGUACCAGAGGAAUCAGCAUCGGCUAACUCCGUGCCAGCAGCCGC